rnacentral:misc_RNA from 1 species
CGAUCCCAAUCCGACAGUCCCACGCCAUUUCCCACACCACAAAUCCUCGACUAUAUCAUUCACAGUUCAAACUUCAAAGCCCUUGCACGUCGACUCAUCCCCAUUUCUCCAAAUGUAUUGUGCACGCANNNNNNNNNCGACCUUCCUAGUUCUGUUGAUUCUCCUCGCUAGUGCCGUUUGUGGUGGUCUACUAGUCUGUUACGCC